GAAUUGUUUUACUAACAAAUCCAACUGACACAGGGUUUUUUCCAAGUGAGAAGUUGAUUCUAAAAAGUGCAGAAAAAUGAGUAAAGAUGAUCUGCGCAGUGACGGAGAUGGUCUUAGACUAACCAGCACCACGAUUCCCGGUUUUACACUUGCUCUCUGCUCGUCACCUCUGACACAAGAACUCAUCAAAUGAUUGUUUUUUUCUUUAGGGAAAAAAACAGAUAAACAAAAUCUAACUACAAGAUGUGGUAUGUAAAGCGGUAAUGAAGUUGUCUAACCUUAUGAUGCAGCCAGUGUAAUGUAGCACUUAUUCGGGCACUAGAAUUUUUUAAUUUAUUUCUUUUAUACCCUAUUUCUAUCCUAAAGGAGACACUUAAAGUUUUCUGCUUUAUUCAACAUAUCUUGUGAGGGUUGUGAUAUACACUGGUAUGGCCGUUUUCAGAGAUUCAAAAUCGCCUCUGUGGUUGUGGUCAGGAAAGACAAGGCUCCCUCACAGCUGCGACGGAGAAGGAAUCCCGGAGUCAGCCCACGGGCAGCUUCCGAACCGCAUCUGCUUGCACUUGGCACAGGACACCAUCAGCAAGUGUAACUCUGACAAGGAGAUUUCCCCGGGGACCUGGGAGGUGCUCUAACAUUCUGAAGCCACUUGUUUCCCAGUUAGGUAAGGCUUGGAAAAAUAGUUUUUUAGAAGUGACUCCCUUUGUAUGUGCCUUUUGUCCUGAGAGGCCACUAAUUAGCAUAGAAUAUAAAAUACUCCAUAAUAUAAGAAUUUGGGUACCCCAUCUUUCCAUCUACCUGUCUAUUUGUUUAUCAUAUUUAUAGUUAGGUUACAUUUUCUACGACGUUCAUUUCCGGGCACCAGAAAGAAAGGUUACAAAAUAUUUAUUAUAAAUAGGGGGGACUGGGUCUAAGGGUUAAAAACCACUACUGCCAACAAUAAAAACGAUAUAAUAAUUUAAAUCUCAGUUGCAUCAGUCCUUCCAGAAUUACUCCCUCAAUUUCACUGUUAAAACAGUAAUGGAAUCUCUGUUCUUCCAAGACUCGGGCCUGAUCGCCACCCAUCCAGACAUCUGUCUGUGUGUCCCUACUUGUCCUCGAGGCCCCCGAACACACCUUAUGGGGUGAACUUUCUUCAGUGUCCCUACUGUAGGGGAAACCUGGAAGUCCCAGACACUGUCCAGGAUUCACACCUACCUGCAAAAAUCAAAGUCAUGUGACUGAAACGGGACAACCCAGGAGGUGUGAUAGGGCUGAAAGCUCACCAAAAAACAGGUUUGGGGGCCUUACCCAAGCCCUCCACCUCCUAACAUGAAGAAGGACAGGGAGGCCCAAUUAGCCACGAGACUGGGGGGCUUCAUUACUCCAUGAAUAAAGGAUUUGUGCCAGUGCCACCUUUAGACAGGGAACCCCAGAAACCAUACUUGGAAGCACCCCGUCCCCUCCCCUCUGAACAAAUAUUCUCUCAAGACACGUAGUGAGAGAUGGGAGCCCCGGUGAGCUCUGGAAUAAGAUGCGACCUGAAAGACUGCUGGUGACAAAUGGUGUGGAGCUCGGGCAGCCCCCAGGGCCACCAGCCCUCCUGGUACCACUGAUGCCCACACUUCCAUCCACAACAGUUUCUUCAGGACCCUUACGCACACAUAACCAUCACACAAAAAUGAUUGCUUAGACAUAAUUUAAGAGAAAUAACAUUAUGAGAAUGCCAAAUUCAUGACAAGUCAGAGUCAAGACCCCAGAGUAUUUACUGGAUGUGAUCUCACGUGUGCCCCGCAGUGAGCUUUAAACCCUUAGGACACAGUCAUGGAACAGUAGGCAUUUUCUUUCUUUCCUCCAAGUUGGCUUUACUGGAGAACUCUGCAGACACAGGAAGACUCUGGAUCCCACCUCUACUACUUACACAAAGGGCUCAUCACGUGGAGUGGGAUAAGCUCUGGUGCGACAGGCUCCAAUGUGAGCACUCCCGUGCCCAGCUCCCCAAGGAGCAGAGCGCCCCCCACGUGCACUGCAGUGCCUGCAAGAAUCAGGUGUCUGAUGAGUGAGCCUGGGGCGGGCAAGACAGGAAGCGAGCACAGCUCCCUCACGCUCUGCAGGUGAUUUCUGUGUCAUCUUGAAUAAGUAUAGACAGCAUUAAAGAUGUUUGACAAGAGGGUAAAAGGUAAGGCCUCCCCAAAUCUCCUUGCAUUCCUUUAGUGGGAGACCUGUUAGAACACAUGGUGAUAAGAGACGCUGGCUUUACAUGAGCACGUUGCCCUCAAGGCUGCAGGGGAGGCCACGGUGCUGCAUCUGCCCCACCUCCUGCCCUCGUCCCCCAGACCUCACAGGGGCCGCUGACUCAUUUCUCUGACUGUCUCUCCUUGUUAUUGCUGCUCUUCCAGCUUUUAAGAGCUCAUAAGAACCUCACCAGAAAAUCUUUAACAAUGAACCCAAAUCAAAUGAAAUCAACCACAGAAACACACUGCCUUCAUCAUUACUUUACAUUUUAGGAAGAAAUUCUUGAAGACGACUCCCUGACCUGAAGGGAUGGAUGGAGGAGAAAAGAAAAGAAGACAAGAAUUUUUGACCCAUAAAAAAUGAGAGGUAACCAGAUGGUGGCCAGUUUUCAUUGCACCUCUCUGCCCGCCCCAAUUUCACAUGCCCCUCCCAACUCAACUCAUCAGAACUCCACUGAAGGAGACGGCUUUGCAAAUUUAUUGGAAGCCAAAGAAAUCGCUCGAGAAACAGUCUCCCAAACCCAGCGAGAACACUGAAAGCUGACCAGUGCCAGGAUGUGAAUACUAAAACACACAGAUUCAAACUCCGAUACCCUCCCUGGUGGGUGUACUUACAGUGGGGGUGUCGCCGUGCAAUUUGUCAGCAUCCAACAUAUAAAAAUGAAGGGGACACCAGUUUUCAACAUCACAGUCCCUCUGAAACAACUGGUGGUCAAUUAUCGUUUGUCAGCAGCGAAAGUCGAUUUUCUCCCCUGCACGUGGAGGUGAACACACAGAAGAGACUGAUGAUCCCCUCUGCGUGUGUAGCUAAGUGUGUCUAAGCAAACUGGCUCCAUCAGCCUCCUGAUGAGCAGGGGACUGUGUGAGCCGCGGGGCUCUGCAGACUGAUGGCCGGGCAAGGAGGGCGCUUCCUUACUUUGGGGAGAAAAAUGCGGAAGCAGCACUCGCUGGAAAUAAAUUCUAAUUAAAAUUUCAGGUGCAGUUCCUGCAGCGUAACCCACGCCAAUAGAUGAGGCUCCCUCCGUGCUGCUCAGUCAUGUGAGCCAGGCUCAUUAUUGUACCUGUGUGUUUGGUUUAGCAAGUGAAUCAUGUCUGUUUUCUGGAAAUUACAUGAGGGUGGAAAACCUUCCAAACAUGUUCAUUUAUUUGCUGUGGAAUUUGUUUAAUCCUCUUAUGAGCAUUUACAAUGACAACCUUCUUAAAUAAGCAUCUUUGCCCGAGAGACCUUUCCUGGCACAUGCGCCGAAACCUAGUACAAAUCAGAAGCAAAAUCAAAACCUUUCCAGCUGCACAGCACAGCAGAAUGCGUCCAGUUUGAGAAUUAAGGAUUUUUUUCUCCACACCCUUUUACUCUUCUGCCCAAAUUAAUCAGCCUCUGCUGCUCUUGUAUAAUGAGGAGGUAUUCGCAAGCCAAUGGACAACGGAAUUACUUAAGAAGACAUUAUAAAGCAGCAAGAGCAACUAGCAAUUUGCCAAGCAUUCUGCCUGAAAGUCACUCUUACCAUCUCAUUUUGACCUGACCGCUUGGAGAGAUCCUGAGGCCUCAAAAGACAUAUCAAUUUGCCUGGUUUUAUACACUGUCCUUUAACAGAAAAUCUAGAACUAAGACCCUGGUCUUUGAGAAACCAAGACUUGCUCUGCUGGUGCAGGGCUGAACUUUAUGAAAAUGGGUCUUGAGAAAGAACCAGAAUGCGGGGGCCUGGGCGAGGCAGCGGAGGAAAGGAGGGUCUCACCUGGUCGUGGGUGAGAAAUAGGCUCCCGCAGUGCUAGUGUGAUGGGCAUCCCUCAAGUGCCUGGAAACUACUAUUUAGCACACCUGCCACCGAAACGCACACAAGCUGUUUAACUAGAAGGCUGACCAGGAGGCUUUCUCAGUGACACAACAAGCUAUUUUCACGUUAACUCUACAACUACAGGAAGAGAAAGAAUAGAAAGCUGAUAUUAAUUAUUAAUAAUUUACACCAAGAGCCAAGGAAUUUCCAGGAGAAAUAUAAAGACUUGUUGGAAGUUUCAUUAUGUGAACUUACUGCCAAUUCAGUUGUCUUAAAAAUUGUUCUAUAAAAUAUAGUGUCCUUUGCUGUUCCAAAUCACAUUUGAAGGAAAUAAUGUUUCUUAAGGGUGUUUCUGGAAUUUUCUUCUACUUCCUAACACCAAAUCUCAGAACUUUAAAGAAAUGGAGGGUUGGAAUUUCGUCCACUCUUCUCUAGGCAAUUUAUUGUUCCUUCAAAGAACAAGGGGGGAAUCACACAUAAAAGCAUUUGAGCAUCAGGCUGCUUAUAUUUCCUCCAGAAGUCUUGGAAAUUAACCUGGAAAUGAACAGCAGGACAGAAACCUGGCGGGAGGGUCACUGGCUAGAAGGUGAGAACAAAUGUGUUCUCCAACGUGCUAUGGUAGCAUCUAGUUUAAAUCAACCGAGCAAUUGUUCCAGCAUACACUCACCUCUACGUGAAAAUCUCAACCGUUACCAACUGCUCAGUGCAGCCAGAAGCAAUGGACGGACUGCCGAGGCCCCCGGCGGCUCAUCGUGGUGUCUUACACCAUGUGUAGGAUGAUCGGUUCCUCCCCACCCACUCCCUCCCCUCCCCUCGAGGGAGAUGGCUGGUCCUGAGUUGAGCUUACCUCAUAGCAAGCUGUCUCUCAGCCCUCUGUCUAAAGCAAGAUAAAAGCAGGAAAGCUACCUGGGACUUUACAGAACCAUCCCAAAUGGGAACUGAAGCACCUUUCUUCCCUCUUGUCUUCUGCCUGGAAUGCGGACCUGAUGUUUGACACUCAGGCAGCCACUUUGGGCCAUCAGGUGAUGGGCUGAAGAUAACAAGCAUCUUGUUCUCUGACCCAGGGGCCAUCAUGCAAACCAGCCCUGGGCUGCCGAUUGCUUGACUUCUUUAUGUAAGAGGGAAAUACAAUUUUAGCAUGUUUAAGCAACUGCUGUUAUCUGGGGAACUAGGUGUUGUACAUUGCCAUGGUAAGACCUAAUAAUAAAGUUAAAUAUUCACCAAAAACUAUUUACUAAAUAGUUAAUAAAUGAUAAAGAGAUCUUGAUUUCUGUUUUAAUGCUAUGAAAUGUAAAUCAAGUUUCAGCAUAUGCCAAUAAAACAAGACACUGUGGAGAUAAAACAAAACAGAAUUUGUAGAACAGAGACCCAAAGCAUCCUCCUCUCCAAUUCACAGAAGGACAGCCGUGACUCUACGUGCCAAGGCUAGAGUCACAUGGGCUCCCUGGUUUCCAUGUCUUUGGUUGUGUUUUGUUUCCAGCCUUGGGAAAAAUGGAUAAAACUUCUGCUCAAAUCAUUUCAGGAGCAGCUUCCAUCUUGUAGAACCCAUGUCUCUUCCUUUCCUCUGCCUCCUGGAAUGUUCUGACACAAUUAAUCAGUCCAGCCUUCUAAACUGAGUAAAUGGAGUUCAAUCAAUCUGUUUUAGACAGAGUUAAAAAUAGACAUUAAAAAGCAUAAUUAGGAAAUCUUAUCUUCCAGAGGUCAUUGCACAGAUGAAAUAGGAGAAUAUCUGUGAAUCACUCUGUAAACACUAAGUACAAUACAAACAAUAUUAGUACUGAUUCUGUUAUAUUCAUCAAUAAAGGAAUACAGA